GCCAUUCCGCGUGCAGGACGAAGGCCUUCGGGUUGUAAACUGCUUUUGUACGGAACGAAAAGGUCUCUAUUAAUACUAGGGGCUCAUGACGGUACCGUAAGAAUAAGCACCGGCUAACUACGUGCCAGCAGCCGCGGUAAUACGUAGGGUGCAAGCGUUAAUCGGAAUUACUGGGCGUAAAGCGUGCGCAGGCGGUUAUAUAAGACAGAUGUGAAAUCCCCGGGCUCAACCUGGGAACUGCAUUUGUGACUGUAUAGCUGGAGUGCGGCAGAGGGGGAUGGAAUUCCGCGUGUAGCAGUGAAAUGCGUAGAUAUGCGGAGGAACACCGAUGGCGAAGGCAAUCCCCUGGGCCUGCACUGACGCUCAUGCACGAAAGCGUGGGGAGCAAACAGGAUUAGAUACCCUGGUAGUCCACGCCCUAAACGAUGUCAACUGGUUGUUGGGUCUUCACUGACUCAGUAACGAAGCUAACGC
rnacentral:rRNA from 1 species